CGUAUAACGUUCUUGUCUUUUUAGCAUAUAAUCGAUAACGUAGAUAACGUUAUCGAUUAUAUGCUAAAAAGACAAGAACAAUUUUUAG
rnacentral:pre_miRNA from 1 species